rnacentral:rRNA from 1 species
CAGUCGCCGCGGUAAUACGUAGGUGGCAAGCGUUGUCCGGAAUUAUUGGGCGUAAAGCGCACGCAGGUGGUUUAAUAAGUCUGAUGUGAAAGCCCACGGCUCAACCGUGGAGGGUCAUUGGAAACUGUUAAACUUGAGUGCAGGAGAGAAAAGUGGAAUUCCUAGUGUAGCGGUGAAAUGCGUAGAGAUUAGGAGGAACACCAGUGGCGAAGGCGGCUUUUUGGCCUGUAACUGACACUGAGGCGCGAAAGCGUGGGGAGCAAACAGGAUUAGAUACCCGGGUAGUCCCUGUCUCUUAUAC